rnacentral:rRNA from 1 species
GAUGGACGCUGGCGGCGUGCCUAAUACAUGCAAGUCGAGCGAACGGACGAGAAGCUUGCUUCUCUGAUGUUAGCGGCGGACGGGUGAGUAACACGUGGAUAACCUACCUAUAAGACUGGGAUAACUUCGGGAAACCGGAGCUAAUACCGGAUAAUAUUUUGAACCGCAUGGUUCAAAAGUGAAAGACGGUCUUGCUGUCACUUAUAGAUGGAUCCGCGCUGCAUUAGCUAGUUGGUAAGGUAACGGCUUACCAAGGCAACGAUGCAUAGCCGACCUGAGAGGGUGAUCGGCCACACUGGAACUGAGACACGGUCCAGACUCCUACGGGAGGCAGCAGUAGGGAAUCUUCCGCAAUGGGCGAAAGCCUGACGGAGCAACGCCGCGUGAGUGAUGAAGGUCUUCGGAUCGUAAAACUCUGUUAUUAGGGAAGAACAUAUGUGUAAGUAACUGUGCACAUCUUGACGGUACCUAAUCAGAAAGCCGCGGCUAACUACGUG